rnacentral:rRNA from 1 species
UACGUAGGCAGCACGCGUUGUUCGGAGUUACUGGGCGUAAAGGGUGUGUAGGCGGUUCUCUAAGUCUGGUGUGAAAUCUCCCGGCUCAACUGGGAGGGUGCGCCGAAAACUGGAGGACUAGAGUGCGGGAUGGGAGAGUGGAAUUCCUGGUGUAGCGGUGAAAUGCGUAGAUAUCAGGAGGAACACCUGUGGUGUAGACGGCUCUCUGGACCGCAACUGACGCUGAGACACGAAAGCGUGGGUAGCAAACAGG